AUUGAACGCUGGCGGCAUGCCUUACACAUGCAAGUCGAACGGCAGCACGGGAGCAAUCCUGGUGGCGAGUGGCGAACGGGUGAGUAAUAUAUCGGAACGUGCCCAGUCGUGGGGGAUAACGUAGCGAAAGCUACGCUAAUACCGCAUACGAUCGAUGGAUGAAAGCGGGGGAUCGCAAGACCUCGCGCGAUUGGAGCGGCCGAUAUCAGAUUAGUUAGUUGGUGAGGUAAAGGCUCACCAAGCCGACGAUCUGUAGCUGGUCUGAGAGGACGACCAGCCACACUGGGACUGAGACACGGCCCAGACUCCUACGGGAGGCAGCAGUGGGGAAUUUUGGACAAUGGGCGCAAGCCUGAUCCAGCAAUGCCGCGUGCAGGAUGGAGGCCUUCGGGUUGUAAACUGCUUUUGUACGGAACGAAACGGCGAGCUCUAAUACAGUUUGCUAAUGACGGUACCGUAAGAAUAAGCACCGGCUAACUACGUGCCAGCAGCCGCCGUAA
rnacentral:rRNA from 1 species